GCCAGGUGUGGUGGCGCGUGCCUGUAGUCCCAGCUACUCAGGAGGCUGAGGCAGGAGAAUUGCUUGAGCCCAGGAGGUGGAGGUUGCAGUGAGUGGAGAUCACACCACUGCACUCCAGCCUGGGCAACAGAGCGAGAUUCCAUCUCAA
rnacentral:SRP_RNA from 1 species